GACAGAGGGUGCAAACGUUGCUCGGAAUUACUGGGCGUAAAGGGAGCGUAGGCGGAUAGUUUAGUCAGAGGUGAAAGCCCAGGGCUCAACCUUGGAAUUGCCUUUGAUACUGGCUAUCUUGAGUACGGAAGAGGUAUGUGGAACUCCGAGUGUAGAGGUGAAAUUCGUAGAUAUUCGGAAGAACACCAGUGGCGAAGGCGACAUACUGGUCCGUUACUGACGCUGAGGCUCGAAAGCGUGGGGAGCAAACAGG
rnacentral:rRNA from 1 species